rnacentral:rRNA from 1 species
GCAUGGAGAGUUCAUUAAAGAGAGCAAUUUUGGUUACAGACGAGCAUGCGCUCCAUUAGCCAGUUGGCGGGGUAACGGCCCACCAAAGCGACGAUGGAUAGGGGUUCUGAGAGGAAGGUCCCCCACAUUGGAACUGAGACACGGUCCAAACUCCUACGGGAGGCAGCAGUGAGGAAUAUUGGUCAAUGGUCGGCAGACUGAACCAGCCAAGUCGCGUGAGGGAAGACGGCCCUACGGGUUGUAAACCUCUUUUGUCGGAGAGUAAAGUACGCUACGUGUAGCGUGUUGCAAGUAUCCGAAGAAAAAGCAUCGGCUAGCUCCGUGCCAGCAGCCGCGGUAAUACGGAGGAUGCGAGCGUUAUCCGGAUUUAUUGGGUUUAAAGGGUGCGUAGGCGGCACGCCAAGUCAGCGGUGAAAUUUCCGGGCUCAACCCGGAGUGUGCCGUUGAAACUGGCGAGCUAGAGUACACAAGAGGCAGGCGGAAUGCGUGGUGUAGCGGCGAAAUGCAUAGAUAUCACGCAGAACCCCGAUUGCGAAGGCAGCCUGCUAGGGUGAAACAGACGCUGAGGCACGAAAGCGUGGGUAUCGAACAGGAUUAGAUACCCUGGUAGUCCACGCAGUAAACGAUGAAUACUAACUGUUUGCGAUACAAUGUAAGCGGUA